CCUACGUGAGGCUGCAGUGGGGAAUAUUGGACAAUGGGCGAAAGCCUGAUCCAGCCAUGCCGCGUGUGUGAAGAAGGCCUUCGGGUUGUAAAGCACUUUCAGUGGGGAAGAAAGCCUUGGGGCUAAUACCCUCGAGGAAGGACAUCACCCACAGAAGAAGCACCGGCUAACUCCGUGCCAGCAGCCGCGGUAAUACGGAGGGUGCGAGCGUUAAUCGGAAUUACUGGGCGUAAAGCGCGCGUAGGCGGUCUGAUAAGCCGGUUGUGAAAGCCCCGGGCUCAACCUGGGAACGGCAUCCGGAACUGUCAGGCUAGAGUGCAGGAGAGGAAGGUAGAAUUCCCGGUGUAGCGGUGAAAUGCGUAGAGAUCGGGAGGAAUACCAGUGGCGAAGGCGGCCUUCUGGACUGACACUGACGCUGAGGUGCGAAAGCGUGGGUAGCAAACAGGAUUAGAUACCCGAGUAGUC
rnacentral:rRNA from 1 species